AAAGACUAUAUGGGAUCUGUUUUUGAUUAGGUGGUGGAUAACGAGGGUUAAGAAGUCUUUGUAAUAAAGAUUAUGAAUCUCAAACAGAUCCCGUAUAAUCUUGUUUCAGUACAUUGUUGCCUCAGAAACUAGACCCAUAAGGAAUCUUGGUUGGUAGUGCAUGUCUAAAGAGGGAUAUUAUGGGAUGAAUAAUAAGAGUCUUAAGAAAAAGACUAUAUGGGAUCUGUUUUUGAUUAGAUGGAGGAUAACGAGGGUUAAGAAGUCUUUGUAAUAAAGAUUAUGAAUCUCAAACAGAUCCCGUAUAAUCAUGCUUACAAGUCUUUAGGCAAAAAAGACUCUAUGGGAAUGGAAAAAGAUAUGACCAACGGCUUAGAAACAAAGUCCUUAGAUGGUAAAAGCGACUAAGGGCUUAAUAAGACUUGUUGGAUGGGG
rnacentral:lncRNA from 1 species